rnacentral:rRNA from 1 species
GACGAACGCUGGCGGCGUGCUUAACACAUGCAAGUCGAACGAAGUGGCGAACGGGUGAGUAAUACGUGAGUAACCUGCCCUCCUUUUGGGAUAAGCCUUGGAAACGGGGUCUAAUACCGAAUAGGGGGCUGGGCUCGCGGCCUAUCAGCUUGUUGGUGGGGUGAUGGCCUACCAAGGCGGUGACGGGUAGCCGGCCUGAGAGGGUGACCGGCCACAUUGGGACUGAGAUACGGCCCAGACUCCUACGGGAGGCAGCAGUAGGGAAUUUUCGGCAAUGGGGGGAACCCUGACCGAGCAACGCCGCGUGAGUGAAGACGGCCUUCGGGUUGUAAAGCUCUGUUGUAAGAAAAGCAUUAUCUUACCAGAAAGCCACGGCUAACUACGUGCCAGCAGCCGCGGUAAUAC